ACAUAGCGUGAGGAAGGCAGACCCAGGGAACUGAAACAUCUAAGUACCUGGAGGAAGAGAAAGAAAAAUCGAUUUCCUGAGUAGCGGCGAGCGAAACGGAAAGAGCCCAAACCAAGAAGCUUGCUUCUUGGGGUUGUAGGACACUCUAUACGGAGUUACAAAAGAAAGUUAUAAAUGAAGCGGUCUGGAAAGGCCCGCCAAAGACGGUAACAGCCCGGUAGUUGAAAUGGCUUUCCCUCCAGAGUGGAUCCUGAGUACGGCGGAACACGUGAAAUUCCGUCGGAAUCCGGGAGGACCAUCUCCCAAGGCUAAAUACUCCCUAGUGACCGAUAGUGAACCAGUACCGUGAGGGAAAGGUGAAAAGCACCCCGGAAGGGGAGUGAAACAGUUCCUGAAACCGUGUGCCUACAAGUAGUUAGAGCCCGUUAAUGGGUGAUAGCGUGCCUUUUGUAGAAUGAACCGGCGAGUUACGAUUUGUUGCAAGGUUAAGCGGAAAAAGCGGAGCCGUAGCGAAAGCGAGUCUGAAUAGGGCGCAUAAGUAACAGGUCGUAGACCCGAAACCAGGUGAUCUACCCAUGUCCAGGAUGAAGGUAAGGUAAUACUUACUGGAGGUCCGAACCCACGCACGUUGAAAAGUGCGGGGAUGAGGUGUGGGUAGCGGAGAAAUUCCAAUCGAACUUGGAGAUAGCUGGUUCUCUCCGAAAUAGCUUUAGGGCUAGCCUCGAGGUAAAGAGUCAUGGAGGUAGAGCACUGUUUGGACUAGGGGCCCUUCUCGGGUUACCGAAUUCAGAUAAACUCCGAAUGCCAUGUACUUAUACUCGGGAGUCAGACUGCGAGUGAUAAGAUCCGUAGUCGAAAGGGAAACAGCCCAGACCACCAGUUAAGGUCCCCAAAUAUAUGUUAAGUGGAAAAGGAUGUGGGGUUGCUUAGACAACCAGGAUGUUGGCUUAGAAGCAGCCACCAUUGAAAGAGUGCGUAAUAGCUCACUGGUCGAGUGACCCCGCGCCGAAAAUGUACCGGGGCUAAACAUAUUACCGAAACUGUGGAUGAACCUCUUUAGAGGUUCGUGGUAGGAGAGCGUUCUAAGGGCGGUGAAGUCAGACCGGAAGGACUGGUGGAGCGCUUAGAAGUGAGAAUGCCGGUAUGAGUAGCGAAAGAAGGGUGAGAAUCCCUUCCACCGAAUAUCUAAGGUUUCCUGAGGAAGGCUCGUCCGCUCAGGGUUAGUCGGGACCUAAGCCGAGGCCGAUAGGCGUAGGCGAUGGACAACAGGUAGAGAUUCCUGUACCAGUGCUAAUUGUUUAACCGAUG
rnacentral:rRNA from 1 species